GCUAAAUGGGGGCGAGAAGCCGCGGUAAUAAGGGGGGUGCGAGCGUUAAUCGGAUGUACUGGGCGGAAAGCGCGCGUAGGUGGAUAAUUAAGUCAAAUGUGAAAUCCCCGAGCUUAACUGGGGAAUUGCAGUCGAUACUGGUUGGCUAGAGUAUGGGAGAGGAUGGUAGAAUUCCAGGUGUAGCGGUGAAAUGCGUAGAGAUCUGGAGGAAUACCGAUGGCGAAGGCAGCCAUCUGGCCUAAUACUGACACUGAGGUGCGAAAGCAUGGGGAGCAAACAGGAUUAGAUACCCGGGUAGUC
rnacentral:rRNA from 1 species